UCAUACAUUGUGCGGGGUAAGAAAAUUAAUGUUCACUGUUUAAUUAUGUUGGUAUGUUGAUUGACUAAAUUUGUCUAUUUCUGUGUGAACAAAUAGGUUGUUGAAACCAGAAAAGGCUCAGGGUUUUUUUGUCACCUUGAAGGACUUAUACUGUUACAACGGGCAAAAGCUCCCUUUCGCAGCAGCUCAAAUUGGUCAAGCGCUCUGUAACGAGAUCUCUUCACGCCAAGGUCUUCUACAAGUGCAUGAAUUCACAUUAGCCGAGAUUGAGCACUUUGUAGAUCCUGAGGAUAAAUCACAUUCAAAAUUUGCUGAUCUUGCUGAUUUGGAGUUUUUGGUGUUGCCAAGAGAGCUGCAAAUUUCAGGGGAACCAAAUUAGUGAAGCGUGGGGAAGCAGUUUCAAAGAUGAUGCAGGCUGCCACUUUGUAGAUGAUGCAUGCUGGAGCUGGCGUUUUUUGGAUGAUGCAGGGUGCUGCUGGCAUUUUUUUGGAUGAUGCGCACCGCUGCUGCCAUUUUUUAUGAUGCAGGCUGCCAUUUUUUAGUUGAUUUAGCCUGAUGCUGCAAUUUGUAGAUGAUGCAGGCUUCGGCUGCCAUUUCUUGGAUGAUGCAGCCGGCCAUUUUUUAGCCGGCCACUGUGUCGGACAAGUCGAAGGCGAGGCCACGGAACUCCGGCAUUUGCGUCAGGUGGUGCCGCCAGAGCCGUCGAGGAACCACGAGGUUCCCAACCGGGAUCAGGCAUUGACUCCUUUAAGUCUUUCAGUUAAUCCCUAUCAUAACAGUAUUCAAGGGGUCUAGAAAAAGAUUUAUUUCACAUCUAUUAUGAUGUGAAAUUAUUUCUCCUUAGUCCUAUUCAAUCUCUCUCUUGAAAAAUAACCGGACGAGGCAUAAUACAGGUACCUGCCUAUCGUUCAUUGUUCCUAAUCUAUGAUUUAAAUAUAGGCUAGAUUGGACGAUUGUCCACUCUGAUGAGUCUGGCACUGAGGCUGCGUUGAGGCUGCGUUUAGUUCCAAAAAUUUUUAGGAGAUAUAUCACAUC